AAAGCCAGAAGAAGUCCUCAGACAACCAAAGCUGUGAGUUUCAGAGAGGAGGAGCCGACUGCCUUCCCAAGGAAGCAGAAGACAGCAAUUUCCAGCCACUAGGUCUGGAUCCUUCUGUGUGGUAUCAACAUGUCUAGCAGUCAUUCAGGAUCUGGUCCUACUGGCCCACCGGGGGUCCCCCCUGUGCCAAACCCCAACAAUCCUUUGGUUCCAGUUCCAGAGCAACCUUGGCCAGUGGGACCUCCCAAACCUACAGAUCCUCAACCACUGGGACCUCUAGUGCCUGGGAAGCCUUGGCCAGAAGGACCUCCUGUAUCUCCAGAACCUAGACCCCCAGGAUUUCCUCAACCACCAUUAGGACCCAACAGCCCGCAACCAUUUCCAAGACCAUCCAGUCCUCCUAAGCCACCCUUGCCAGAUGAGCCAUAUGGACCUUCUCCUCUACUUCCUGUAGUACCUUGGCCACCCCUGCCUGAGUGGGAUGAUUCAGGAAAACCUCCUAAGGACCGUUCCAAUGAAAAUUAAUUUUCUUCCAGUUGUUUCCUUCAGAGACUCCUUUUUGCUGCUGUAGGACCACACCUUGCCUUUCUCUACACAUUCCAACCAUAUUAUCUUGAUGGUUCUUGAAAAAAGAACUAAGGUCCACCAUAUGUGUUAUCUGUUGAUGAAGCAAUUUAAUAUUUUAUGAAGAUGCUGAACAAAUGUCCAUCCACCUUCUAAUCAACCAGCCCAUCUACCAGUAUAGUAAUGUAUUCUGACUUACGGUUUUUAUUGUCUUUCAGUUAAUCUAAUUUGCAUGCACAUCUAUCAAUGUAUGUAUUUAUUUAGUCUUUCUGUCAUAGCCAAAGUUAAUCUGGAUACAAUUUCAGCUGAUUUAAUAAGUGGUAGCAGGUGGUUGUGACAUAUUGUAAAAGAGGUUUCCAAUAAAAUAUUUGAAUUUGAAA